GACGAACGCUGGCGGCGUGCCUAACACAUGCAAGUCGAGCGAGGAGAGUUCCUUCGGGAACAAACCUAGCGGCGGACGGGUGAGUAACACGUGGGCAACCUACCUUGUAGAGGGGAAUAGCCUUCCGAAAGGAAGAUUAAUACCGCAUAACAUUACAGUUUCGCAUGAAACAGUAAUUAAAGGAGCAAUCCGCUACAAGAUGGGCCCGCGGCGCAUUAGCUAGUUGGUGAGGUAACGGCUCACCAAGGCGACGAUGCGUAGCCGACCUGAGAGGGUGAUCGGCCACAUUGGGACUGAGACACGGCCCAGACUCCUACGAGAGGCAGCAGUGGGGAAUAUUGCACAAUGGGGGAAACCCUGAUGCAGCAACGCCGCGUGAGUGAUGAAGGUUUUCGGAUCGUAAAGCUCUGUCUUCGGGGACGAUAAUGACGGUACCCGAGGAGGAAGCCACGGCUAACUACGCG
rnacentral:rRNA from 1 species